AGCAAAUUCACCAACCUUCCUUCUAUUCUUAGACUGUGUUUUAUCGAUCCAUGCACAGUUUAGUUGUAGCUUUGAAUUUGCCGAGAACUUCCUAGUGAUGCUAUUUGAAACAAUCCUACUCUUCUCAAUUUGGAACAUUCCUUGGCAAUAAUGAGGAGGAGGAAUAGGUCAAGUAAAAGGCUAAAAAGUGUAUGCAGAAAUUCUACCCAAGUAUCUGAAUCCCAUGUAUGAACCAAAUCAAAGAGUUAUUUGGCCAUCAGUUGCUCCAAUGAGUCUGCAACUUUGGGGAAGUGUGUUCCUGCGAUGGGUUGUAGAUCAAGGCCCUCAAGAAGCAGCUUGGUCAGUGGUUCGCGAGUUGAAGGAGAGAGAUUCCUCCCUCAGGUCAAGAGUUGCACGUCUGAGACGCCAGUUGCAAGACCUGGAGCGUGAAGCAAUGGAAGUUGGAAUAAUUACCUCUCCAACAGUGGCAUAAAUUCUCUUUCAUUAAUGCUAUAUCCAUUAUUAAACAUUAUCAUUACUCAAUAAAUUAUGCUGCUUUGACCAAAGAGUGAAAUGUUGUUGAGUGGUCAGUGAGAGCUAAGAGAGAGAGAAGAAAAGUAUGAUUUCUGUUCAUGAGAUAAAAGUAUUUGAUGAAGGUUAAGAAAGUCAUCUAGAGCAACUCUGAAACUUCAGUAAAAACAAUCAUUACAGUUCCUAGUAGGUUAACACAAAUUAACACAGGUGAACCUUUCAAUUUUCAUUGGCUAAGGAAUAAGCUUUUUUUUCUGUACUCGUACAUCCAUUCGUAUGUAUACAGCCACAAAUGGGAAAUGUAGAACUUGAUUGGAGCUAGUAAUUUUGUCUGAUUGACAACAUCAGAUCAACAGUUCAUAUGUGAAUCAAAUGUGAAGCAUUGUAUGUAUGAUGUACUUAUAUUGUACCUGUAUAAAAAU